CUACGGAGGGUGCAAGCGUUACUCGGAAUCACUGGGCGUAAAGCGCGCGCAGGCGGCUAUUUAAGUUGGAUGUGAAAGCCUACGGCUCAACCGUAGAACUGCAUCCAAAACUAUUUAGCUAGAGUGUGGGAGAGGAAGAUGGAAUUAGUUGUGUAGGGGUAAAAUCCGUAGAGAUAACUAGGAAUACCAAAAUCGAAGGCAAUCUUCUGGAACACUACUGACGCUGAGGCGCGAAAGCGUGGGGAGCAAACGGGAUUAGAAACCCUAGUAGUCC
rnacentral:rRNA from 1 species